rnacentral:rRNA from 1 species
UACGAACUGUGCGAACGUUAUUCGGAAUCACUGGGCUUACAGGGUGCGUAGGCGGCUAUUCAGGUCAGGUGUGAAAGCCCCCGGCUCAACCGGGGAACUGCGCUUGAAACCGAAUGGCUCGAGUCAGCUAGAGGGACACGGAACUUCCAGUGGAGCGGUGAAAUGUGUUGAUAUUGGAAGGAACACCGGAGGCGAAAGCGGUGUCCUGGGGCUGGUCUGACGCUGAGGCACGAAAGCCAGGGGAGCGAACGGGAUUAGAAACCCCGGUAGUCC